UCCCAUGUGGCUCAGUUGGUAGAGCAUGGUGUUUGCAACGCCAGGGUUGUGGGUUUGAUUCCCACGGGGGAC
rfam:Salmo salar isolate Sally breed double haploid chromosome ssa10, whole genome shotgun sequence.